rnacentral:tRNA from 1 species
AUGGCAGUAGUUCAGCUGGAAGAACGGCGGUCUCCAAAACCGUUGGUCGGGGGUUCGAAUCCCUCCUGCCAUG